rnacentral:lncRNA from 1 species
GUCCGGUUGAAAAAUAGAAAAAGAAGCUAAAAAAUUAUGACAAUAUAAUUUUUAGAAAGGUUAUUGUUCGUUUGAAAACUUUAAUAUGCAUCCAUUUUAUUGAAGCAUCCCAGCAAACAGACUAGUAUCGUGACAAAGGCUUAUACUUCUGGUAUUACAGAUGUCUUGUAACUGGCUAAUUAUAAGUAUACAUUAAGGUGUUGCUUAUGACUGCUAUAUUUGACUUGGAAAAUAUAUAACAUUUUGCUUUAUU